AAGUCGUAACAAGGUUUCCGUAGGUGAACCUGCGGAAGGAUCAUUAUCGAGUUUGAAAGGGGUUGUAGCUGGCCUUUCACGAGGCAUGUGCACACCCCUACUCAUCCACUCAACACCUGUGCACACUAUGUAGGCUUAGAUGAAUGCCGUCUGCCUUUCGGCUUCGGCAGGAGUCUUGGCCUAUGUCUUUAUAAACUCUGUAAAGUCAACGAAUGUACGUGCGAUAAACGCAAUAAAUACAACUUUCAGCAACGGAUCUCUUGGCUCUC
rnacentral:misc_RNA from 1 species